UGACAUUGUCUUAGCCCUUGAAUAUAACACUGAUGGCGCCUUGGACUUGAGAGAGGCAUGGGGAAGGCCAGCUGAUCCUUGGCCUGAGAUUUGAGGGCAUGUAGGCAGAUGGGGAGGGGAAGGCAUUGUCAACUACCUCAAUCACUUCAAAAAUGUAAGUUGAGAUAGAAAGCUUCCUGGGAACGUAAGAAGUGGGAAGCAGCAGCCAUUAACAGAAUCUGAGUGAAGCUGAGACAUCCAGAUGCUGAUGAAGAAGAGAAGAGGGUCCGUGUGAAGGGAGUGGACCAUGAAGAACAAAGCAAUCUGUAUGAGACAUGAAGUUGACAUGCAGGGAAAUAAUUUGCCAUGAGUGAACUGAGGGAGCCAUUGCCCUGACCCUGCUCACCUUGAGCUACUGCAGAUCCCGCCAGGAUCCCUAUUCUUAUGGGUGAUAGAUUCCCAGGGCAAGGACUCCUAAAGCACCCCAGAACCUGGUGGGGUCCAGAAACCAGUUCAGGAAGCACCAGUCAUCAGAUUGCUGCAGACAGAGUGAUCAAGGCGAGGAAGGCUCAGCUGCAGGAUGGAGGAUGACUGGAGAAACUUGGAGGAAAGAGGUGCUUGGACUUUCUGAACAUCCUUCUAUUUCUGGAGGGUUGCGACACCACAGUCCGCAUCUCCUGGGUCUUCAAUGCUUUGGCCACACAUCCUGACCACUAUGAGACACAAGGAGAAGUUCCAGCAUUUUCCUGAGUGUGGAACCCCAUCACAUUGUGAGAGAGAGCCCAAAAAGAAGAGAAUCCUGACUUUGGAUAGACUCUCUGGUUCUGUUGGGCUCAGCUUGUUCUUCAGGCUGAUCUUCAUUCCAGAGACCACUUGGACCAGUUAUCCUACACCAUCAUGUGCAUCAGGGAAGCCCUGAGAAUCUACCCACCUGCCAAGCUGUGGGCAGAGAGGUUGACACCCCUGUCAUCUUUCCUGAUGGAUGUUCUUGUCACCUUUCCUGAUGAGCGUUCCUGCCACCUGUCCUGAUGGAUAUUCUUGUCACCUUUGCUGAUGGGUAUUCCCAUCACGUUUGUUGGUGGGUGUUCCUGUCACCUUUCCUGAGAGUGCUUCUGUCACCUUUCCUGGUGGGCAGUCCUUGCCUAAGUUGAGCCCCAAACCUCGAUACCUGUAGAUAAAAGAUAAUAAGAAGUCUUUUUGGAUUCCCUGAGAGUGGAGGACAGACAGAAUAUCUAGAUAGAUGCUAUAGACAUUGUGGUUCCUUUCUGAAGACAUGACAACUGAAUUGAUCAGGAAGUUCUGUGCCAUAAAUCAAAGGUGUUUUGCUCUGAGGUAUCUUUUGGCUGACAUUAGAGACCAGCUGAUGAUCAGAACUGAACCCCUUUCUAGAAUGAGAUCCUUCACCUACCGUUGGAUCUGGUCCCUGCCUUGCCAUGUGCUGACUGUAUGGAUACAGACAUGUCACUCAUCAUCUCUAACAUUCUGGUGCUUUUUCUGAAUAAUGAAUCCAAGUGUCUCUCUAAAGGUUGGUUCUGGGCACCUAGGGAAGUAGUUUUUAUCCUCCGAGACUAGUAGAAGGCAUUAGAGACAUGUGAAUAGUAGUCACUCAAGAGACUUUGCAUUGGUUCUCCAGUAACUUCCUGCUCCUCAUUGCUUGGAGGAACUAUGCCACUGUGGAGGAAACUGUUUCCUAUGUUUGGAAUACUGCCAGUGACUCAGUUGCCUUUCUGUUCCCUGCAAGCCAAGAUGCAGUCAACACAACACCUGCCUGCAUGCCACCAUGCUCCCUGCCAUGAUAAUAAUGGACUGAAUGCUGAAACUGUAAGCAAGCCACCCCAAUUAAGUAUUUUCCUUAUAAGAGUUUUCAUGGUUGUGGUGUCUUUCACAGCAAUAGAAACCCUAACUAAGACUGGAGGAAUCUCAAAUGACUGAGAACAUCCUUAACCAUCAGGGGAAUGCAAAUCAAAACUACUUUGAGAUUCCAUCUUACACCUUCAGAAUGGCUAAGAUCAAUAAUACAAGUGACAGCUCCUUGGUCAAAGAUGUAGAAAAGGGGGAACACUCCUUCAUUGUUGAUGGGAGUGCAAACUUGUACAACCAGUAUGGAAAUCAAUAUGGCAGUUCCUUAGAAAAUUGGUAAUCAAUACACCUCAAGAUCCAGCUAUACCACUCUUGGCCAUGUACCCAAAGGAUGCUCCAUCCUAUUACAAGGACACUUGUUUGGCUAUGUCCAUUGUGACUUCAUGAAUAAAAGCCAGAAAUUAAAAACAACCUAGAUGUUCCUUAACUGAGGACUGGAUAAAAAAAUUAUGAGCCAUUUACACAAUGGAAUAUUAGCUACUAAAAAAUGACAUCACAAAAUUUGCAGACAAAUGGACAGAACUAGAAAAAUAUCACCCUGAGUGAGGUAACACAGAUGGAGAAAGACAAAUGUGGUGUGUAUUCACUCAUAAGUGGGUAGUAGCUAUUAAGUAAAUGAUAGUCAAGCUACAAUCCACAGACCCAGAGAGGUUGGAUAAAGAGGUUAGAUAAGAGGGAAAUGUAGAUCUCCUUGGGACGGGGAAAUAGAGUAGAUUUAGUGGGUGGACUGGGGACAGGAGUAGGAGGGAUCAGAGGUUGGUAUGGGGAAAGAUAGAACGAAAGAGUACAAGGAGAGACAACUGGAAUUGGGGGCAUUUGAGGAGUUGUGUGGAAACCUACUGCAGUGGAAACUUCCUGGAAUCUAAGAGUGUGACCCUAAUGAGGACUUGUAGCAACAGAAGAUAGAGUCUGAACUGGCCAUCUUUUGUAGCCAGGCAAGGCUUUUAGUAGUGGAACUGGGCUACAUUCAGUUGAAUUGUUAAUCAAGGUCCCACUGAGAUCCCUGAACACCCCAGGCUGAUGCUAGAACAAAAAGUCUCUUCUGAAAACUGACAGUGGGGCCCCAUUGCCAAAGACAACUUCCACAUAGUUCAUCAAACGUAGACAGGUCGAGUUGGUGUGACCUUGGAGCCUGCUUUCACCACUACAUUUCAGUCUCUUUGGCACAAGAAGGUGUUCUGCAUGCUAUGGAGACAGAAACCUGGAUACCAACCCAGCCACAAAACCUUCCACCUACAAUCUUGUCUUGCAUGCAAAAUGUGCUGGGGCAAUGGUGGCCCAGACUUGUGAGAGUGAACAACCAAUGUGUGGUUUAACUUGAGGUCCAGGCCACAAGAGGGAGCCCGUGCUCUCCCUAUACUGCCUAGAUGGCCAGGAAACAGAGACUGGAUAGCCCAACCUGCAGUAGAAUCAAAGAGAACUGGG